UACCGCGUAGUGUAGUGGUUAGCACGCUCGACUCAGAAUCGAGAGGGCCGGGUUCGAGUCCCGGUAAGCGGCGAGGAAA
rnacentral:tRNA from 1 species